UACGUAUGGAGCAAGCGUUAUCCGGAUUUACUGGGUGUAAAGGGAGCGCAGGCGGCUUUGCAAGUCUGAUGUGAAAGGCCGGGGCUCAACCCCGGGACUGCAUUGGAAACUGUAAAGCUAGAGUGCCGGAGAGGCAAGCGGAAUUCCUAGUGUAGCGGUGAAAUGCGUAGAUAUUAGGAGGAACACCAGUGGCGAAGGCGGCUUACUGGACUGUAACUGACGUUGAGGCUCGAAAGCGUGGGGAGCAAACAGG
rnacentral:rRNA from 1 species